rnacentral:rRNA from 1 species
UAAGACGUAGGGGGCCAGCGUUGCUCGGAAUUACUGGGUGUAAAGGGUUCGUAGGCGGUGUGGCAAGUCGGGAGUGAAAUCUCUGAGCUUAACUCAGGGGCUGCUUCCGAAACUGCUGUGCUAGAGUGUGGGAGAGGCGCGUGGAAUUGCAGGUGUAGCGGUGAAAUGCGUAGAUAUCUGCAGGAACACCCGUGGCGAAAGCGGCGCGCUGGACCACUACUGACGCUGAGGAACGAAAGCUAGGGGAGCAAACAGGAUUAGAUACCCUGGUAGUCCAUGCCUUAAACGAUGAUCACUUGGUGUUGGAGGUAUUGACCCCUUCAGUGCCGAAGCUAACGCGUUAAGUGAUCCGCCUGGGGAGUACGGCCGCAAGGUUAAAACUCAAAGAAAUUGACGGGGGCCCGCACAAGCGGUGGAGCAUGUGGUUUAAUUCGAUGCAACGCGAAGAACCUUACCUGGGUUUGACAUGGUUUGGAAGGGUGGCAGAGAUGUCCCCGCCCGCAAGGGCUGAAUCACAGGUGCUGCAUGGCUGUCGUCAGCUCGUGUCGUGAGAUGUUGGGUUAAGUCCCGCAACGAGCGCAACCCCUAUGUUUAGUUGCCAGCAUUCAGUUGGGCACUCUAGACAGACUGCCGACGUUAAGUCGGAGGAAGGUGGGGAUGACGUCAAGUCCUCAUGGCCUUUAUAUCCAGGGCCACACACGUGCUACAAUGGUAGGUACAAAGGGAAGCAAGAGCGCGAGCUGGAGCAAAUCCCAUAAAACCUAUCUAAGUUCGGAUUGAAGUCUGCAACUCGACUUCAUGAAGCUGGAAUCGCUAGUAAUCGCGGAUCAGCACGCCGCGGUGAAUACGUUCCCGGGCCUUGUACACACCGCCCGUCACAUCACGAAAGCCGGUUGUACUAGAAGUCGCUACAUCAACCCGCAAGGGGGAGAGGCGCCUAAGGUAUGGUCGGUGAUUGGGGUG